rnacentral:sRNA from 1 species
GCUGGGUGUGGUGGCGCACACCUGUAAUCCCAGCUGCUUGGGAGGCUGAGGCAGGAGGAUUGCCAGUUCAAGGCCAGCCUCAG